GAUGGUUUGGCUGAGUGGUCUAAGGCGCCAGAUUUAGGCUCUGGUCCGAAAGGGCGUGGGUUCAAUUCCCACAGUCGACA
rfam:Ipomoea nil DNA, scaffold: scaffold2791, cultivar: Tokyo-kokei standard.